rnacentral:rRNA from 1 species
AGAGUUUGAUCAUGGCUCAGAACGAACGCUGGCGGCGUGCCUAAUACAUGCAAGUCGAACGAGAAAGUGGCUUCGGUCAUGAGUAAAGUGGCAGACGGGUGAGUAAUACAUAGGUAACCUACCUCCAAGAUGGGGAUAACCUUCCGAAAGGAGGGCUAAUACCGAAUGAGACCACAGCUGCAAAUGCAGCAGAGGUUAAA